UACGGGGGGGGCAAGCGUUGUUCGGAAUUACUGGGCGUAAAGGGCUCGUAGGUGGCCAACUAAGUCAGACGUGAAAUCCCUCGGCUUAACCGGGGAACUGCGUCUGAUACUGGAUGGCUUGAGUUCGGGAGAGGGAUGCGGAAUUCCAGGUGUAGCGGUGAAAUGCGUAGAUAUCUGGAGGAACACCGGUGGCGAAGGCGGCAUCCUGGACAGACACUGACACUGAGGAGCGAAAGCCAGGGGAGCAAACGGG
rnacentral:rRNA from 1 species